GAUGAACGCUGGCGGCGUGCCUAAUACAUGCAAGUCGAGCGAACGGACGAGAAGCCUGCUUCUCUGAUGUUAGCGGCGGACGGGUGAGUAACACGUGGAUAACCUACCUAUAAGACUGGGAUAACUUCGGGAAACCGGAGAUAAUACCGGAUAAUAUUUUGAACCGCAUGGUUCAAAAGUGAAAGACGGUCUUGCUGUCACUUAUAGAUGGAUCCGCGCUGCAUUAGCUAGUUGGUAAGGUAACGGCUUACCAAGGCAACGAUGCAUAGCCGACCUGAGAGGGUGAUCGGCCACACUGGAACUGAGACACGGUCCAGACUCCUACGGGAGGCAGCAGUAGGGAAUCUUCCGCAAUGGGCGAAAGCCUGACGGAGCAACGCCGCGUGAGUGAUGAAGGUCUUCGGAUCGUAAAACUCUGUUAUUAGGGAAGAACAUAUGUGUAAGUAACUGUGCACAUCUUGACGGUACCUAAUCAGAAAGCCACGGCUAACUACGUG
rnacentral:rRNA from 1 species